GGGGGAAUAUUGCACAAUGGGCGAAAGCCUGAUGCAGCAACGCCGCGUGAGGGAAGACGGUUUUCGGAUUGUAAACCUCUGUUUUCGGUGACGAACAAAUGACGGUAACCGAGUAGGAAGCCACGGCUAACUACGUGCCAGCAGCCGCGGUAAUACGUAGGUGGCAAGCGUUAUCCGGAAUUACUGGGUGUAAAGGGAGCGCAGGCGGGUCAGCAAGUCAGAUGUGAAAAUUUUGGGCUUAACCCAAAAUUGCAUUUGAAACUGUUGAUCUUGAGUGAAGUAGAGGUAAGCGGAAUUCCUGGUGUAGCGGUGAAAUGCGUAGAGAUCAGGAGGAACAUCGGUGGCGAAGGCGGCUUACUGGGCUUUAACUGACGCUGAGGCUCGAAAGCGUGGGGAGCAAACAGGAUUAGA
rnacentral:rRNA from 1 species